rnacentral:rRNA from 1 species
UACGUAGGGUGCAAGCGUUGCCCGGAUUUAUUGGGCGUAAAGGGCGCGUAGGCGGCUACGCACGUCCGUUGUGAAAUCGCUCGGCUCAACUGGGCGGGGUCAGCGGAUACGGUGUAGCUGGAGCAAGCUAGGGGGCAAUGGAAUUCCCGGUGUAGUGGUGGAAUGCGUAGAUAUCGGGGAGGAACACCAGUGGCGAAGGCGGUUGCCUGGAGCUUUGCUGACGCUGAUGCGCGAAAGCGUGGGGAGCGAUCCGG